rnacentral:rRNA from 1 species
UGUUUAAUUAAAACAAUGCAUUGCGAUGGUCCCUGCGGAUGUUUACGCAAUGU